GUCAACACACAACACAAGAUUUACCAGCAAAUGCAGGUGCACAAAAUGCCUAUAAAAUUCAAGUGCAAUUACAUUGCUCCAGAUAAAAUCAUAUCCUAUCUUCUAAAUAGUCGAAAAACCAAAAUACUACAAAAUAAAGUCUGACAUUUAUUAGAGAGAUUUGGUUUCUUCUAAACAAUCAGAAAAGCAAAAUACUACAAAAUAAACUUCGACAUUUAUCAGAUAGAUUUGGCUGCUUCUGAACAAAAUACAAAACAAAAUAUAUCCACUUUUUUAUCCCCGCAGGUGCUUUUGCAGCUUCUAAUCUCCAAGUCCCUCUUGGCUUCCAUGAACUUAUGGUGCCUUUUGUUAUGUCCUUUUUCCCCCACAAACGGAACACGUCAUGUACACAACACCUUUUUUCUUACUUGUGAUUGUGAAUGUAUUUGUGAUUGGGAUUGUCCAUCUUCAUCGGGUUCUUUUCUUUUCUUUUUAUGUUUUCUUCUUAUGAAGCAACAUACCAGGGAGAAGGCAAAACAGGAGGAUGUGCACAUUUUAGGCCAUAACUCCUAACUAUUGAUGGGAUAUAUGACAUUCUCGUACUUGCUCAUGUAGGUCUCGACCUUGUACCAAUUGGAGACAUAGUCUUUUAUCUCAUGACCUAUAUCUAAAAUGCAAGCAAUGACAUGUGGACAUGGAAUGCCAGAAAUCAGCCAUCCCCUACAUGCACACGUUCUAUUUUCCAUGCCCACAACAACUGCUCCAUACUAACACUCAACUUGAUAUUGGUUUAGCCCGUUCCAUCUCAAGAUACACUCAUGGGCUGCAUCACAGCAUUUCCCCAACUUCUUUUGUAUUUUGGGACAUAUGGGUUUUGGUAACUUCUAAACUUGUCCCUCUUCACCUGAAUUCUGUGCAUGAGUUUCAUCUGAAUGCCUACCAACAUAUCUAUAAAAGAUUUAUCCCUUUUUCCAAAAUGAAGUUCUUGAAGCAUUCACAGAGGUUAUUAAUGAGCAUUUCACACUUCGAUUGAUCUGAAAAAUGAGACCUACUCCAUUCGUUUGGUGACUUCUUCAUCAACCAUCCAUGUGCCUCCUUCUUGGCACUUUCAAUCUUAGCCAUCCAAUAUUUAAAUGAUGCUAAGUGACUGGAUUUUGCUCCAUCGACAAAUAGUCUUUCAAUUCCUUACCCUUAAAGUCACUCCUGAAGAAAUUCUGAUGCAUAUGCCUAACACAAAUAUAUGUUCAGCUUCUGAAAAUAAUUCAGACAACAACAUCAAAAACCACCUCCACCAACUAGUGUUAUUUCUCUCUCUACAAUUACAUAUGCAAUCGGGUAAAUACAAUCAUUCGCAUCUAUGCCAACAACUGCUAGUAGUUGACCACCAAAUUUCCCUUUUAGAAAACAUCUGUCAACACUGACAAAGCGUCCACACAUGCCUCUAUACAGACAUAAAUACCCCUGAAAACAUUAUCUACUUGAGAGAUAAGCAUAGUUGAAUAUGGAUUUGUUCUCCUCAAUUCUGUUGCAUAGCACCCUAACAUCGCAAACUGUUCCUUCACUUUCCUCUACUAAUGCUUUGGCAUAUUUUCUAGCAUUCGAAUCCACCCUCUUAUGAUGUGCACUCCUAAAUCCUUUCUAACUAUAGCUCUGAUAUUUUUUAUCUUCCACUCAGGUUUGGAUGUGAAGUUAUCCAAAUAGUAGUUGGCCAACCAUUUAUAGGUUAGGUACUUAUUAGUACGUGCCUUACAGCAAGUGUGCCUGGGGUUGUACAUUUUGAUCUGGACCAUGUCUCAACCUUGUAUCUUCGAAGCUCACAACUUCCAUGGACAAUCAUCCUUGCAAACACAAUGCCAUCUAUUUUUCUCGUUGCGUUUGAAAACUGGUUCAACUUGAUUGAAGACCGCAUAAUCCCUCACCACAGAUUUUAAUUCCUCAAAAUUCACAAACAAUAACCCCAUCUCAAGUUGAGGAUUCCUCUUUACACUACCAACAAAAUAUUUUGGAAAAUUGGGUCUACCACUAUUCCCCUCCGAAUCUGAACCACUUAAGAAGUUUAACUCCUCUGACGAUGCAUACAAAGAGCUAUCUAAUUCUUGGCGUUCUUCAUGUUCCACAAUAUGCAUACCUAUUUCAAUGCCUUCGGUCACAUUACGAUCAAAUAGGCAAUCGUCAUCACGUAUACAUCAUAGUCCAAGUAAUUGAAAUCGGGAUCUUCAUCUGCAAUCAUAAAAACAAAUAUA
rnacentral:lncRNA from 1 species